rnacentral:other from 1 species
AAUGAAUAAAUUAUGACUCUAUUUAUUGCUAAAAAAUUGCUUUAAUUAGAUUUGCAAACUCCAAAGGAAAUAAGUAAAUGGCAAAGAUCAAAGGUCAAGUUAAGUGGUUCAACGAAUCGAAAGGUUUUGGUUUUAUCACGCCUACUGAUGGAAGUAAGGAUGUUUUCGUUCACUUUUCUGCUAUUCAGGGUAACGGCUUCAAAACUCUAACGGAAGGUCAGAAUGUUGAAUUUGAGAUUCAGGAUGGUCAGAAAGGACCUUCAGCAGCAAAUGUAACUGCCUUAUAAGAAAAGUUACAGUAAUUUAAUAAAUAUUUUU